rnacentral:rRNA from 1 species
UUCCGGUUGAUCCUGCCGGACCCGACUGCUAUCGGAUUGAGAUUUAGCCAUGCGAGUCGAACGUUCCCCUGUUGCGGGGAGCGUGGCGUACGGCUCAGUAACACGUAGUCAACCUGCCCUGGAGACAAGGACAACCCCGGGAAACUGGGAUUAAUCCUUGAUAGGUCAUCUCAUCUGGAAGGAGAGAUGGCUUAAAGGGGUACGAGGGCUUCUUCCACGUAUUCGCUCCAGGAUGGGACUGCGACCGAUCAGGCUGUUGGCGGGGUAAUGGCCCACCAAACCUGUAACCGGUACGGGCCUUGAGAGAGGUGGCCCGGAGAUGGACACUGAGAGAAGGGUCCAGGUCCUACGGGGCGCAGCAGGCGCGAAACCUUCGCAAUGCGCGAAAGCGUGACGAGGUUAAUCCGAGUGACUCCCGCUGAGGGGGUCUUUUGUCAGCUGUAAAUAGGCAGGCGAAUAAGGGGAGGGCAAGCCUGGUGUCAGCCGCCGCGGUAAUACCAGCUCCUCGAGUGGUCGGGGCGAUUAUUGGGCCUAAAGCAUCCGUAGCCGGUUCCGUAGGUCCUCUGUUAAAUCCAACCGCUCAACGGUUGACCUGCAGAGGAUACCGCGGGACUAGGAGGCGGGAGAGGCGGACGGUACUCCGCGUGUAGGGGUAAAAUCCUUUGAUCCGCGGAAGACCACCAGUGGCGAAGGCGGUCCGCCAGAACGCGCUCGACGGUGAGGGAUGAAAGCUGGGGGAGCGAACCGGAUUAGAUACCCGGGUAGUCCCAGCCGUAAACGAUGCUAGCUAGAUGAUUCAUUCGCAAGUCGCGAAUGAAGUGUCGCAGGGAAGCCGUUAAGCUAGCCGCCUGGGGAGUACGGUCGCAAGACUGAAACUUAAAGGAAUUGGCGGGGGAGCA